GACGAACGCUGGCGGCGUGCCUAACACAUGCAAGUCGAGCGAAGUUAUUCCUUCGGGGAUAACUUAGCGGCGGACGGGUGAGUAACACGUGGGUAACCUGCCUUAUAGAGGGGGAUAGCCUUCCGAAAGGAAGAUUAAUACCGCAUAACAUUGAGCUUUCGCAUGGAAGCUUAAUCAAAGGAGCAAUCCGCUAUAAGAUGGACCCGCGGCGCAUUAGCUAGUUGGUGAGGUAACGGCUCACCAAGGCGACGAUGCGUAGCCGACCUGAGAGGGUGAUCGGCCACAUUGGGACUGAGACACGGCCCAGACUCCUACGGGAGGCAGCAGUGGGGAAUAUUGCACAAUGGGGGAAACCCUGAUGCAGCAACGCCGCGUGAGUGAUGAAGGCCUUCGGGUUGUAAAGCUCUGUCUUUGGGGACGAUAAUGACGGUACCCAAGGAGGAAGCCACGGCUAACUACGUGCCAGCCGCCGCCGUAAUAC
rnacentral:rRNA from 1 species